GUUAUAUACUUGCUGGCGCCCAACAUAACGUUGCUGUGAACUUUCAGUUAUAUCACUUCAAUGGAGAGGGAGGUAGGGAAGUGAAUCCUUGAGCUCAGUUGAUUCAUAUAAACGUCAGUACACAACAUCUUUGUACACAUUAUUUGACUAUUUUGAGCCACUUAUGGCUGAUUUUUCACAGGCGGCGUUAAUUAUCUUUUACCUACUUUGUCGAAUGUUAUCGCUUUUUUUCGUGAUCAAUAAAUAUCGAUUUUACCUUACCUUUUCAUUACCGGAUUUGACGUUAUAUUUGCUAAUUUUGGAUUUACCUCAAUUUAGUUUCAUUAUCGGAUUUGACAUCGUUCUAUGCAAGAAACAUAGAAUGAUGGAGUCUUUUUUGAAAAUUUUGGACUCAAACUAAAAAUCUUCCAUGCCCCCCCUUUAUGGUCCACCUUCGUCUCGGGUGCCAGGAAGAUUUUUCUUGUUUAAGUGCGACGGCACACAUUAAAUUAAUUCACUUUUGUUUAGUUGAGACGGUUUCAUUUAUAUAACCGCAGCACUGUUUACUUUCUAGUAGCAGUGGCUGAAAUGUAUAUUAAAAUUUUUUGACGAUGGGUCGUUUGGGCAUGACUUUCCAGAAUCGGUAGGAUGAUGGUAUUUCACACCAGUGUGAAGUAUCCUCAUCCCUCUUUCGUUUUUUAGAGAGAGGCCUUCAGCAACCGACUUCUGUUUCACCUUUUCACUCAACUCUGAGUAGUUUAAAUAUUUAGGGUGUAAAGAAGUUCUCAUUGAGCUCCUUUACACUCAUCCCUCUUUCGUUUUUUAGAGAAAAGCCUUCAGCAACCGACGUCUGUUUCACCUUUUCACUCAACUCUGAGUAGUUUAAAUAUUCAAGGCAAAGAUUAGGGAGAGAAAGAUAGGAAACGAAGCGACUCAGACGACGCCAGCGACGUCUGGUGUUUCAGUUGUAAACAAAAUUGGUUAAAAUAUUAUUACGGAGGCUAUUUAUAAACUGCAAAGUUUUUGACGUUUUUGUCAGAAGAUUAAUCUAAUCUUUGCUUUUGAGUUAAAUCAAAGAUUAGGGUUAAAUCUUUGUUUGUAAACGUGCUGUGCAAAGAUUAGGGUUGUGGUUAUUAAGCUCACGUGUUAUUGAACCUGUUUAUCAAAGAUUAAUAUUAAUUUGCUGUUCUUGUCAAGAUGAGUCGUGGUUCAUAUUGUUUGGUAUUAACCUGCCCGAACAAUAAAAAUAAAAACCCAAAGCUCGCGUUUUUUACAUUACCGAAGGACAUGAAAAUUGCCAAAAGAUGGAUCGAAUUCUCUGGACGCAAAGAUCUUGAUCUGGGUGCUUCGAAAACUAUAGAAUGUGUAGUGAGCAUUUCACAAAAAACCAGUUCAAAUGUAUAAAUCCACGGACAUUGCUUUGGCGUGGAAGUAUUCCUCAUGUGAAUGGACCUAAAUCAGAUGUUCUUCCCGAAUCAGAGUCUGAGAUGAUCAUCCAUGAAGAAACUGUUCAAACGGAUCAAAACGUACCUCUAUCUAAUAUUGAAAGAUUCUGCGUUUGCUGUGAACAAAUAUUAUCAUUUGAUAAUUUUUGAAAAGAG